rnacentral:rRNA from 1 species
AUACGUAGGGUGCGAGCGUUAAUCGGAAUUACUGGGCGUAAAGCGUGCGCAGGCGGUUAUGUAAGACAGAUGUGAAAUCCCCGGGCUCAACCUGGGAACUGCAUUUGUGACUGCAUGACUGGAGUGCGGCAGAGGGGGAUGGAAUUCCGCGUGUAGCAGUGAAACGCGUAGAUAUGCGGAGGAACACCGAUGGCGAAGGUAAUCCCCUGGGCCUGCACUGACGCUCAUGCACGAAAGCGUGGGGAGCAAACAGGAUUAGAAACCCCUGUAGUCC